UUUCAAGAAAAGUUACACAAGAUGAGGUGACAAAUUCAUUCAGCCUACUCAUGGAUAUAACUCUUGUAUAAGCAGCAUAAUUCCACGCUUCGCCGGAUUCUAGGAGGUAUCAUCUGCCCUGCAGUUAACCAACUUGCCAAAGAAGUUGGCUACUUUCCCAGGAGCUCCAGAAAACCUGUGGCUGUUACCCCCUCCAUUUCAAGUGACAACAGUUUGUUGAGGAAGUAUUUGAAGAUAUAUGCAACAACUUUCUGAUAUUUGGUGAUAUUCUGAAGGAAAUUAAGGUAAAAAAUAUUCUUAAACGUUAGCACAACAUAAGCUAAGUGUACCUUAAUUAUUGUUUUAAAUGCAUUGUCUCCCAGUGCCCUUUGCUGAUU
rnacentral:lncRNA from 1 species